GCGAUGUGACGCAUCGCAAGGCAUUGAUAUAUAACACUUUUAAAACCAGAGUGCUUGGCUUCGAACUAAGGUGUCGGGGGCUCGAGUCCCUCCGAGCGCACCA
rnacentral:tRNA from 1 species